rnacentral:misc_RNA from 1 species
CACGGGCGUAUAGCUUGCAUCCGUUCGUUUGUCGCCUGCUGGAGAGUACCGCGUGGACUUUUUGAAGAAGCAUGGCAUCCUCGCCGCUCGUGAGCAUCGUGGAUCCGAAGGAGCAGAGCUUCGACUUGAAGAGAAACUUUGGCGAGUACAUACUGCGACAUCUGCGCACCCAUACCAACUCAAAAUGGAUCAACGGCACAACCCACGAAGCGGUGAACUACGGCGACGUCGCUGAGCAGGUGGAGGCUGUGCGGACGGCUCUCAGUCGACUGGGGGUCAAGGCUGGAGACAAGAUCCUGAUGCUCAGCGUCAGCCGAUUACAGCUGCUGCCAAUGUUCCUGGGCGCAGCUAGCGCCAAUGUUGCGUCUAUGUACACGAGCCCAGGCUACGGACUCGAUGUCCUCGCCGAUGCGGUGCGACCCCUGUCCUUUGCCGCCCUCUGCUGUGAACCAUGUUGGGUGCAGGAUGCCGUCAAGCUACAGCGUAUGGUGCCUUCUCUUAAGAAUAUCAUAGUGCUUGACGAGGUGUCAGACAAACGGGAAGGCACGUUGACUGCGUAAUCACCUGGAGUGAGCUGCUGCAGAAGGGACGCAGAGCGAACGGAACGCCUUGUCUUCCGAUCGAGUACCGGGAACAGGAUAUCUGCUACAUGACGUCAACGAGUGGUACGACCGGCAAGCCAAAAGUGGUCGUGCACUCUCACGAAUCUCUACUAGCCACCGUCCAGGCAAACAGCCAUCCUGCUCACAUGAAGCUGAACACAGAUGACGUGGCGCUCGCCACCACUUCCCUGGGCCACGUGUACGCGCUAUUCGACGUCGUCUGCAAAGCCAUUGUCCAGGGAGCGUCGGCUGCCUUUGUUGAGACCUCUGACGAUGUGCUCGAGGCGCUGCACACGCACAAGGUCACCGCCUUGAGCACGACACCUCACACAGCACGGUGCAUACUGGACAAUGAGAAGCGGAAAAAUUAUGACCUCAGCUGCUUGAAGUACGUCACGAGCGCGACCUCUUGCAUCAACGAGGACUUGGCCAGGGCGUUCUUCCAGGAACUAAACCUCCAUUCGUUUAUUCAGCUGUACGGCCAGUCGGAAAUUCCGUUCGUCGCGGCGGGCCUUUACGGCGCACCAUGCCGUUUCAAGUCGAUUGGCCGCUUGGGCUAUGGGCGUCGAAGCAAUGGUGAGAGAUGUCGAGACGGGCAAGCCUCUAGGACCGUGCGAACAAGGCGAGCUUGUUGUUCGAGGUCCAGAUCUGAUGCUAGGGUACUGGGGUAGGCUGCACGAGCCCGCCACCGACAGCCAAGGCUGGUACAGCACAGGCGACCAGUGCUACUACGACGAGGACGGUUGGCUCUAUCUGGUGCAACGAAUGGGCGACUUCUUUUGCUGCCGCGGGGUGAAGGUCUCGCCAGUGCUGGUGGAGAGUGUGCUGCAGAAGUGCCCGGAAGUGCACGACUGCGCCGUCGUCGGACUUCCGCACGACGAAGCCGGUCACGUGGCGCAUGCCGUGAUUGUCCGAAAGCCAGGAGCCGAUGCUCUGAAAGCCGGACACUUCACGCGAUACGUAGAAGAAAACGCACCGAAGACAUUCCGCUUGGAAGGCUGGCGUCACGUUCGUCGACGAGAUUCCACGCAACGCGCUGGGAAAGCUCGUCAGGCGUGAGCUCGUACAGUGGGUGCUCAAACAACACGGGCGAGCAGGCUGAAAGUGACUGCGCCGGGGCGGACUCAAAGUGACAUAUAAAGUGGCCUCUAUGCUCGUGAA